rnacentral:rRNA from 1 species
AUUGAACGCUGGCGGCAUGCUUUACACAUGCAAGUCGAACGGCAGCGCGGGCUUCGGCCUGGCGGCGAGUGGCGAACGGGUGAGUAAUGCAUCGGAACGUGCCCAGUAGUGGGGGAUAGCCCGGCGAAAGCCGGAUUAAUACCGCAUACGACCUGAGGGUGAAAGCGGGGGACCGAAAGGCCUCGCGCUAUUGGAGCGGCCGAUGUCGGAUUAGCUAGUUGGUGGGAUAAAGGCUUACCAAGGCGACGAUCCGUAGCUGGUCUGAGAGGACGACCAGCCACACUGGGACUGAGACACGGCCCAGACUCCUACGGGAGGCAGCAGUGGGGAAUUUUGGACAAAGGGGGCAACCCUGAUCCAGCCAUGCCGCGUGCGGGAAGAAGGCCUUCGGGUUGUAAACCGCUUUUGUUCGGGAAGAAAUCCUCUGGGCUAAUACCCCGGGGGGAUGACGGUACCGGAAGAAUAAGCACCGGCUAACUACGUG